rnacentral:rRNA from 1 species
UACGAAGGGGGCUAGCGUUGCUCGGAAUUACUGGGCGUAAAGGGAGCGUAGGCGGGUUAUCAGGUUGGAGGUGAAAGCCCAGGGCUCAACCUUGGAAUUGCCUUCAAAACUGAUAGCCUAGAGUAUGAUAGAGGUAUGUGGAACUCCGAGUGUAGAGGUGAAAUUCGUAGAUAUUCGGAAGAACACCAGUGGCGAAGGCGACUCACUGGACAUGUAUUGACGCUGAGGUACGAAAGCGUGGGGAGCAAACAGG